CACCUGUAAUUAAAAGGACUGGGUGUGGUUUUUACAUACUCGACACUCUCUUAUAAAUACAGACUGAAAAUACAGUUUAUGUACAGUCCUUCAACCUCCAGUACCAGUGUGAUUUCAGUGCCAAUUCUUGUCUGAGAAAAUGAGUGAUCCAGCAAAGAAACCGGCGGAGUCCACACCUGGGACUGAUGAUGGGAAGAAGGGAAAAGGUGGAAAAGGGGGACACAGCCAUGGAGGAGAUCAUGGAGGCGACCAGAAAGGAAAAGGAGGCGAGCAUAAAGGAAAAGGAGGCGAGCAUGGAGGCGACCAUAAAGGAAAAGGAGGUGACCACGGAGGAAAAGCAGGUCGUGGAGGACAUUAAAGAUUUAAUCAUGCACCAUUUGUAUGUUUCAUCACGGUAGCUAUUACGGAAAAAACAUGUUGAGCGAUUUAUUAAAGUUGACAAAUCUCUAAUAAAACCUACUUAUAAAACAGA